rnacentral:rRNA from 1 species
UACGUGAGGGGCGAACGUUGUUCGGUGUCACUGGGCUUAAAGCGCGCGCAGGCGGCCAUGCAAGUAAGGUGUGAAAUCCCCCGAUCCAAUCGGGGAAUGGCGCCUUAUACUGCACGGCUCGAGGUCCGGAUGGGUUGGAGGAACUCUAGGUGUAGCGGUGAAAUGCGUAGAUAUCUGGGGGAAGGCCGGCGGCGAAGGCGUCCAACUGGCCGAGACCUGACGCUGAGGCGCGAAAGCGUGGGGAGCAAACAGGAUUAGAUACCCUGGUAGUCCACGCCCUAAACGAUGGGUGCUAAGUGGGAGGCCACCCAAGGCUUCCUGCCGCAGGGAAACCGUUAAGCACCCCGCCUGGGGAGUAUGGUCGCAAGGCUGAAACUCAAAUGAAUUGACGG